UCCCUGGAGGACUAGUGGUUAGGCCACAGCACUCUCACUGCUGUGGCCCAGGUUCGAUUCCUGGCCGGGGAA
rnacentral:tRNA from 1 species